UAGCUAGUUGGUGGGGUAAAGGCCUACCAAGGCGACGAUCGGUAGCUGGUCUGAGAGGAUGACCAGCCACACUGGAACUGAGACACGGUCCAGACUCCUACGGGAGGCAGCAGUGGGGAAUAUUGGACAAUGGGGGGAACCCUGAUCCAGCAAUGCCGCGUGUGUGAAGAAGGCCUGAGGGUUGUAAAGCACUUUCAGUAGGGAGGAGGGUAUUUAGGUUAAGAGCUAGAAUACUGGACGUUACCUACAGAAGAAGCACCGGCUAACUCCGUGCCAGCAGCCGCGGUAAUACGGAGGGUGCGAGCGUUAAUCGGAAUUACUGGGCGUAAAGGGUGCGUAGGUGGUUAAAUAAGUUAUCUGUGAAAUUCCUGGGCUCAACCUAGGGAGGUCAGAUAAUACUGUAUAACUCGAGUAUAGUAGAGGGUAGUGGAAUUUCCGGUGUAGCGGUGAAAUGCGUAGAGAUCGGAAGGAACACCAGUGGCGAAGGCGGCUACCUGGUCUAAUACUGACACUGAGGCACGAAAGCGUGGAGAGCAAACAGGAUUAGAUACCCUGGUAGUCCACGCUGUAAACGAUGUCAACUAGCUGUUGGUUAUAUAAAAAUAAUUAGUGGCGC
rnacentral:rRNA from 1 species